AAAACAGAAUAAUAAUAAUAAAAGACGUAGGGAAGAUGAUGAGGUUUGAUUAGAGAAGAAUGAAAGAGGAUGACUGUGAACAUGAGAUAAGAAACUAUGUAACUAUUUAUGAUACUAUAUGGUCUAGUAAAAUAAUUUCAAUAAACUUCAGGGACUAAGUUUAUAAUUAACCUAUUUAAAUUCCUCAGUAAGUCCCCAAACCUCACACGUGUAUGCUUGUUAGAUUUCUUGGGUUAUGCAGGUGGCAACUAGGUGUUAUAUCUUCACGAUCUCCCUUCUGGCCCUGUCUUCGUUUCUUUUGUUAACUGAGAGAGAGCUGUGUAGCAGUCGUUGAAAUGUUUUCCUUGGCCUUUUUCGCUACACUUGAAAAUUGGUAACGUGUUUCCUUUAUCUGCAUGUUAGGGUGUAGGAUUGAAAUUAGAUGAUGCUCUUGCAUUCUGGAAAGCAGAGUUCUCCCAAAAGGUCGGAGCUGAGAGGUUUGACAAAGAAUAUGCAUAAAGCAUUCGCCACAAUUACGGGAGAAUGAAAGAGAACAGAUUCCACUCCUCAUUCUUGUCAAGAAAUAAUCUCAUCAACUCCUGGUGUCGGAGAUCAUCAUGGUUGUCCCUAUCGACAUUUUAGGUCAUUUUCCUUACUAUUGUGGUGUUUAUGAUGACAUGAAACUGGGAUUGUGUGUGUGUGUGUGUAUCCUGAUUAACUCCUCUUGGGCUGGAAUGGCUGAUUCAAUGGAAUUUAGUAUUUUUGUUCCAUCUGAUUAACUUUGCCAUCAAACUAGAAAAUAACUAAAAUUUGGUAUUUCAUCAAA